rnacentral:rRNA from 1 species
AAGGAAUAUUGGUCAAUGGACGCAAGUCUGAACCAGCCAUGCCGCGUGCAGGAAGACUGCCCUCUGGGUUGUAAACUGCUUUUGUACGGGAACAAACCCCUUUACGUGUAAAGGGCUGAGUGUACCGUAAGAAUAAGGAUCGGCUAACUCCGUGCCAGCAGCCGCGGUAAUACGGAGGAUCCAAGCGUUAUCCGGAUUUAUUGGGUUUAAAGGGUGCGUAGGCGGCCUAUUAAGUCAGGGGUGAAAGACGGCAGCUUAACUGUCGCAGUGCCUUUGAUACUGAUAGGCUUGAAUGCGGAUGAGGUAGGCGGAAUGAGACAAGUAGCGGUGAAAUGCAUAGAUAUGUCUCAGAACUCCGAUUGCGAAGGCAGCUUACUAAGUCGUAAUUGACGCUGAUGCACGAAAGCGUGGGGAUCAAAC